rnacentral:lncRNA from 1 species
CAAUCCGGCUCGACCAAGGAGAAACAUGCAAUCCACGCGUGAUACUGAUUUUGAAUACACUUAAGAAAGAAUUGAUUGAAUUAGUUGUUAAUAAAACAGAAUGAAAUACCCAAUUCAGUUGUAAAUCGUAGUUUAAAUAGCGUGAAGAAUGAAUAAGAAAGAUAACAAAUUACUGGAACUCAUUGUGAAUCUCCUCUCUGGAUCCUCCGGGAUAAAUUCUUCCUUCCUCCGGCCCCAUCGGGGAUUCUUCUUGGUUACUCUGGCAGUGGUUCUCGCCCAUUGCCGACGACCAGCUUCUUCUUCUUCUCAGAACUCGACCUCCAACUCCUACGCCGGUGCCGUAUACUGUCAACGCCGGACGCCACUGUUACAGGUUCUUAGAAUUUUGAUUUUACUUCAAUUGCUCACGGUCCUCAGUAUCAUAGGAAAUUUCGUGAAAGUCGAUUAUUC